UACGGAGGGUGCGAGCGUUGUCCGGAAUCACUGGGCGUAAAGGGCGCGUAGGCGGCUCAUGAAGGCUGUGGUGAAAGUCCGGGGCUCAACCUCGGAUCGGCCGUGGCGACUCGUGGGCUGGAGCACUGUAGAGGCGGGUGGAAUUCCGGGUGUAGCGGUGGAAUGCGUAGAGAUCCGGAAGAACACCAGUGGCGAAGGCGACCCCCUGGUUGGAUACUGACGCUGAGACGCGAAAGCGUGGGGAGCAAACAGG
rnacentral:rRNA from 1 species